GGCGAAUGAAGAGGGAAAAGCCCAAAUUUGUAAUCUGGCUCUUUCAGAGUCCGAGUUGUAAUUUUAAGAACUGUUUUCAGUGCUGGACCAUGUACAAGUCUUCUGAAAAGAAGCAUCAUAGAAGGUGAUAAUCCUGUUCAUGAUAUGGACUACCAGUGCAAUAUGAUACAGUCUCUAAGAGUCGAGUUGUUUGGGAAUGCAGCUCAAAGUGGGUGGUAAAUUCCAUCUAAGGCUAAAUAUUGAUGAGAGACCGAUAGCAAACAAGUACCGUGAGGGAAAGAUGAAAAGAACUUUGGAAAGAGAGUUAACAGUACGUGAAAUUGUUAAAAGGGAAACAAUUGAAGUUAGACUUGUUAUUAAUAGUUCAACCUUUUUUUUUAAAAAGGAGUAUUCUAUUGAUUAACAGACCAACAUCAAUUUUUGGGUGUUGGAUAAGGGUUUAAGGAAAUGUAGCAGUUUUUGACUGUGUUAUAUUCCUUUUGAGCUUUGAUACAAUGCUUAAGAUUGAAAAAUG
rnacentral:rRNA from 1 species